UACGGGGGGGGCAAGCGUUGUUCGGAAUUACUGGGCGUAAAGGGCGCGUAGGCGGCCUGCUAAGUCGGACGUGAAAUCCCUCGGCUCAACCGAGGAACUGCGUCCGAUACUGGUGGGCUUGAAUCCGGGAGAGGGAUGUGGAAUUCCAGGUGUAGCGGUGAAAAUGCGUAGAUAUCUGGAGGAACACCGAUGGCGAAGGCGGCAUCCUGGACCGACACUGACGCUGAGGAGCGAAAGCCAGGGGAGCAAACGGG
rnacentral:rRNA from 1 species